UCAAUUAUUACUGUUUUCGGGGCUAUUCGAUUUCAAGGAAUAACAAAUUCCGGCAGCUGAAUCCCCCCACCGCCCAUCGGUAUUUUCCGCUGCCGCUAACGCAUCUGGGCUCCGCGCAGCUGCUUAUUCGGGCCUCGUGGCCGUUGUUUAUCUUUUCGGUACAUAUUUUUACGGCUUUCAUGUAUGUACUACCUGAGAAGUGCCUCGACAAAGGGCGUCAAGUUACAGCAAUCUUAGAAUUUUCACACUUUAAUUAAUAUAUAAUCUGAAACUUGCGUGUGCAUCUCUACGGUAGCUAUUGGGAUUGUGUGAUUUUAUUUUUUGCUGUCAAGAAUACACUCUGCUUUGAAGAUUCAACACCGUGCGAUCACAACCCUAGAGAGGCGGUGGCCAUGGUGAUUAGUAGGUAAUCUGAAAAUUAAAUCUAGAGAAUGGAAUUGGUGGAAGCCAAAAGGCCGCGGGCCGAGGGCGAAUUUGUUCAGGCGAGGGAUUCGUCGGCGCAGGCAACGGUGUCUAGGUUUUCGCCCACAAUUGUUGACUGUCGCCCGCCGCCCCUUCUUCCGCCAUCCGCCGCCGCUUUCUCCGAUAUCCGCCGCCGCCUCGUUCGAUGCACGCCCGCUGUCACCUUUCUCCGCAUUUUUCAUCCAAUACUUGACUGCGCCGCCCUUUUUGUCCAUAUCUUGAAUUUGUGGAAUCAAGGAGCAGCAGAAACCACAAAUAAUUCGACCAUGAAGCUAUUGAGGCUGUUAUGAGUUGAACACUUUGUUCACUUCUCCACUUCUCAUAAUCGCGAGGUAUUUUACCUUUUUCUUUUUUUUCCUUUUCUUCCCCAUUUUGUACUGGUUUUCUAGAUAAGAAUGGAGCAACCCAGAUUUUGUAUUCGAAGUUGUUUCCCUUUUCUUUGUGGAUUCUAAGCAGCUUCUCAACAAUUUUGCGAUUGCCCUGUUUUAUUUUAACCAGGAUGAUGCUCAUCUUCACCACUUCAAAGGUA